GUCACUAAUCGGGAGCUGUAGCACAUGAGAAAUCCAAAUCCACUGGACACGCUGCCGGCAGCGCACGAGCGAUUCCUCUUCCUAGCUCGUCCAACAGGUCCUUCCCCUUGAACGAGGUGCGGAAAGAGCCUGCCCAGGAUUGCUCAGGUGCAGAGGUUCCAUGUCGCUGAUGUGCAUGUCUGAAGGCAACAGAAGAAAUUUCAUGGCCAUUUCUACAGCAAAGCCAUGGAACAUCACUGUGAGUUGAACUAAAAUUUCGAUUUUAUGGGCCAUGGUAGAGACAGAGAAGCUUGAGAAAUUGUAUUUCCUCUAGAGAGUUGUGGUCGGUGGGUGGGUGGGUUUGGUGGCGGCCUGGCCAGUGGGUGGAAUGGUGGCGCAGUGAGUGCCGUUUUCCUUGUCGGGCGGCACGGCGGGUGGUGGCUGCAGACCGUUCACGCCCAUGGAUGUCAGGGCUGACAGCGGGAAGCAAGGGUGCAGUGGAUGGUCGGAAUGCCAACGAGAUCUUCAGACAGGUGCUGGGAUGCAGUGCAAUGGUCGAUACUGGAGCUCUUGUCUCUACCAACGGUGUCAGGCGCCUUGGCUCUUAUCCAUGACUCCAGCAGCACCGCCUUCGUGCCGGACAUCAGCUCCCUACACAAGUAUCUCCGUCACUGCUUAUCUGUGGACUAGCUGGUUAUCACAAUGCGUUUAAGAAAAUUCUAGUAACGGUCAGAAGAUCAGCUACGG